ACUACGGGGUGCAGCAGUGGGGAAUAUUGGGCAAUGGGCGCAAGCCUGACCCAGCAACGCCGCGUGAAGGAAGAAGGCUUUCGGGUUGUAAACUUCUUUUGUCAGGGACGAAGCAAGUGACGGUACCUGACGAAUAAGCCACGGCUAACUACGUGCCAGCAGCCGCGGUAAUACGUAGGUGGCAAGCGUUAUCCGGAUUUACUGGGUGUAAAGGGCGUGUAGGCGGGGAAGCAAGUCAGAUGUGAAAACCACGGGCUCAACCUGUGGCCUGCAUUUGAAACUGUUUUUCUUGAGUGCUGGAGAGGCAAUCGGAAUUCCGUGUGUAUCGGUGAAAUGCGUAGAUAUACGGAGGAACACCAGUGGCGAAGGCGGAUUGCUGGACAGUAACUGACGCUGAGGCGCGAAAGCGUGGGGAGCAAACAGGAUUAGAUACCCCAGUAGUC
rnacentral:rRNA from 1 species